rnacentral:misc_RNA from 1 species
UAUAAAAGAAGUCAAUUGCGCAGGGAAUGUAUUCAUAUGGAUGAAAUUAUUGGCAGUAUGGCGGAUGUUCACUAGUAAAUGGCCAUAAACCUAAAGAAAGUGAGCUAGAAGAAAGUUUGUUUUUGGGUUCAAUAGUUCAUUGGAGCUUUGCUAAAAGUUCCUGCCUUCGUAAUGGCUCUGGAAAAAUCCAAUACAAAGUGGCGUGGGGCUAACUUCACAG